rnacentral:lncRNA from 1 species
GGGCUUCAAAUCAAGUUUAAUAAAUAAAACAGCAAGGGAUUCAAGGCAGUUAUCACUUCACAGUGUGGUCCUUGGUGGGGUGAGGGAAGGUCGAGGCCAACUCUGCAGACGGGCUCGAGCCAAAACCCUCUCCUGGUGACACCCGGGGGUUGGGGAGCACUGCCCUGGCCCCAUGGAGGACCCCACUCCAAUUUGUAAACAGAAACAUAAAUAAAAUGAGGAAAGCUGGGAAAGAGAAGGACCGGGCCCCCAAACCAUCUUGCUGGGGAGCUUCAACAGAAAUAUGACCCACGGGGUCAGGGGAACGGACUGGAGCCAGCCCCCUCGGUGCCUUGGUACCAAGGGGGCGGGGGGGCGGGGGGUCACCUGUCCCCUCGACCCCACCCCCGAGGCUACUCCUGGCUGGAGAGAGGGGGUAGGCAGGUGUGGGGUAAAGUGCGGCUUUUCCUGACGAGGAGAGCAGGGUGGAGGUCGAGGGUGGGCGGGGCCGACAUCGAGGUAUAUGGCUCUGUGCCCCAAGGGGUUUGGCACCGAGUAGCAGCUGCCCACGACCCCCGAGCUGGGGCAGCCUGAGGCCCUGCCAGGUGCAGGGAGACAGAGCCAAGCGGAGGGCCGAGGGCGCCCCGGGCGGAGGCUGCUGGUGGGGCAGCAUCCCGCCCCAUCUCCCACCUCCCCGAUGGGGCAGGGACACCUUCCUCUGCUGGCUAGACGGGGCCGGGCCCUCUGCAUCCAGCUGCCUGGCGGGUCCUGCGGUGGGGGCAGCGGCCUGGACAGCACGAACAGUGGUGCUGGGCACUGAGAGCGCCAGU